rnacentral:rRNA from 1 species
UAGGGAAUCUUCCGCAAUGGACGCAAGUCUGACGGAGCAACGCCGCGUGAGUGAAGAAGGAUUUCGGUUCGUAAAACUCUGUUGUUAGAGAAGAACAGCGCAUAGAGUAACUGUUAUGCGUGUGACGGUAUCUAACCAGAAAGCCACGGCUAACUACGUGCCAGCAGCCGCGGUAAUACGUAGGUGGCAAGCGUUGUCCGGAUUUAUUGGGCGUAAAGCGAGCGCAGGCGGUCAAUUAAGUCUGAUGUGAAAGCCCCCGGCUCAACCGGGGAGGGUCAUUGGAAACUGGUUGACUUGAGUGCAGAAGAGGAGAGUGGAAUUCCAUGUGUAGCGGUGAAAUGCGUAGAUAUAUGGAGGAACACCAGUGGCGAAGGCGACUCUCUGGUCUGUAGCUGACGCUGGGGCUCGAAAGCGUGGGUAGCAAACAGG